AGAGCAGUGCGGUUCUUGCGCUGUCCGGUGCGCUCGCGUCGGCCCUUGAAAAUCCGAGUGAGGGAGUGUGAUUUUCGUGCCGGACCGUACCCACAUCCGCAGCAGGUCUCCAAGGUGAACAGCCUCUAGUCGAUGGACCAAUGUAGGUAAGGGAAGUCGGCAAAACGGAUCCGUAACCUUGGGAUAAGGAUUGGCUCUGAGGACUGAGCCGGUCGGGCUGGGGACCUGAAGCAGGAACGGCACUGCACCGGGACUGGGCGGGGCUCGCCGUUCACGCGGCGCGGCCAAGCCCGGACCAGCGUCGGGACCUUCCUGUGGAAAGCCUCAGCUGCGCAGCGUCCGAGGGCUUCGUGCCCAAAGUGCUAUGCUUCGGCCGGCAAAAAACAGUCAACUCAGAACUGGCACGGACCGGGGGAAUCCGACUGUCUAAUUAAAACAAAGCAUUGCGAUGGCCGCUGGUCGGUGUUGACGCAAUGUGAUUUCUGCCCAGUGCUCUGAAUGUCAACGUGAAGAGAUUCAUCAAAGCGCGGGUAAACGGCGGGAGUAACUGCUUGGGGUUCAGGGCGCUGGCGACGGAAUGUUGAAGAGUCUGGUGACCAUGACGGCAUGGAAAGAUGAGGUGGAGAGGGCGGGGAAAGGGGUGAAAUUUAAGGGUGUCACGAUUGAAUCUAGAACACAGGAGCGCAGCUACUGGAGAGACCAGCUGCUGCAGAUGGUGGACACGAGAGGGUUGAGGGAGGCACGGACAUGUGCUGCUGCGGCCUUCAUCCGGAACCCACCGCACUUUCUGAAUGGACGGGAGUAUGUCGACCUAAUCAAACUUAGGGCCCACGCGCUUCCGUCCAAGACGAGGUGCGCCAGGGGAAGGGCGAAGGACACCCGCUGCAGGGCUGGGUG
rnacentral:ncRNA from 1 species